rnacentral:rRNA from 1 species
UAAGGUCACGACAAGACGAGCCGUUUAUCAUUACGAUAGGUGUCAAGUGGAAGUGCAGUGAUGUAUGCAGCUGAGGCAUCCUAACAGACCGAGAGAUUUGAAC